GCUGGCGGCGUGCUUAACACAUGCAAGUCGAACGAUGAAACCUAGCUUGCUAGGUGGAUUAGUGGCGCACGGGUGAGUAAUAUAUAGGUAAUGUGCCUCUUAGUCUGGGAUAGCCAUUGGAAACGAUGAUUAAUACUGGAUACUCCUUCUAACUCUAAUGUUAGUCGGGAAAGUUUUUCGCUAAGAGAUCAGCCUAUAUCCCAUCAGUUAGUUGGUAAGGUAACGGCUUACCAAGGCAAUGACGGGUAGCGGGUUUGAGAGGAUGAUCCGCCACACUGGUACUGAGACACGGACCAGACUCCUACGGGAGGCAGCAGUGAGGAAUAUUGCACAAUGGGGGAAACCCUGAUGCAGCAACGCCGCGUGGAGGAUGACGCAUUUCGGUGUGUAAACUCCUUUUAUAUGUCAAGAAAAUGACGGUAGCAUAUGAAUAAGCACCGGCUAACUCCGUGCCAGCAGCCGCGGUAAUACGGAGGGUGCAAGCGUUACUCGGAAUCACUGGGCGUAAAGGACGCGUAGGCGGAUUGGAAAGUCAGAUGUGAAAUCCUACAGCUUAACUGUAGAACUGCAUUUGAAACUUCUAAUCUAGAGUAUGGGAGGGGGAGAUGGAAUUAGUGGUGUAGGGGUAAAAUCCGUAGAUAUCACUAGGAAUACCGAAAGCGAAGGCGAUCUCCUGGAACAUUACUGACGCUAAGGCGUGAAAGCGUGGGGAGCAAACAGGAUUAGAUACCCUGGUAGUCCACGCCCUAAACGAUGAACACUAGUCGUCGGGAUGCUUGUCAUCUCGGUGAUGCACUUAACAGAUUAAGUGUUCCGCCUGGGGAGUACGGU
rnacentral:rRNA from 1 species